rnacentral:rRNA from 1 species
UUCAGAGGUCUCGAGCGUUGUUCGGAUUUACUGGGCGUAAAGGGAGCGUAGGCGGCCGGGUGUGUCGAAUGUGAAAGCCCACAACUCAACUGUGGAAUGGCAUUCGAAACUACCUGGCUAGAGUACUGGAGAGGAGAGCGGAAUUCUUGGUGUAGCGGUGAAAUGCGUAGAUAUCAAGAGGAACACCGGUGGCGAAGGCGGCUCUCUGGACAGAUACUGACGCUGAGGCUCUAAAGUUAGGGGAGCAAACAGGAUUAGAUACCCCU